AGAAACUUUUCGUUGCGGUGGUGGUAUUGGAAAAAAUGUGUAAAUAUAAUUCCAUCUUCCCCUCAUCCAUCUCGUCACGGAUUCGUUUUGCGAGCGCGUUAAUCCCCCCGGACCACGAUUCGAUUUGUGCUGGAACAAUGGACUCACGGACGGACGGACGAACGGGAGACAACAACCCGACCCACAGCUAGCGAUAGAUAUAUGUAUGGGCGGGGCAGAAAGUACGUCAUCAGAAAAGGCGGAAAAUUUGUGGUGCUGCCAGGGGAUGACAGCCUUCAGAGGGAAACUUUCCGCUGAUGGAUUUAUAGACUCCGACCCAACUAAACCGAUCCGCCUUCCUACCUCCACCAACAAACUCGCAGGAAAAACUUUUACAAAAAAAACUUGACAACAAGAGACGACGAAGAGCGAGAGGGUAUGAGUUACGGGGAGUGUGCGGCAAAAAUGUUGGAUUCUACAAGUGAAAAGGGGGGGAUGAGAAGGUUUUAUGAGGAGUUUGGUAAAAAUUUUACCAAAAAAUUUUACCGAGAUUAAUUUGUUGGGAAAAAUGUGGAAGCAGAUUUCAGAAGGAAAAUGAGAAUAGGAAGGUUUUGCAAGUUUGGUAAAUUUUUACCGCAAAUCUUACCGGAUUAAUCUUAGGUUACCGGGUAGAUAUUACCGGGUAAAUGUGUUUUUAUUUAACAAAAAGUUGCAAAAUUAGAAAUAUUGUUUACCAUGAACAUGAAAUUAAGUCUUUUGGUAACAGAAUAAAAUUUUAGUUCCCCGGUAAAAUUUGGUAAAUUACCAAUUUUUACCAAACAAACUUUCGAACAAUUUCCUCUCGGUAACAAUGUUCUCCUCAGUAUCAAACUUCCCUAAAAAAGUGGUAAAAAUUUCAACUUUCUCAACUCUUUACCGGAUCGCAAUUUACCAGCCUGACUACCAAAAGCUACCACAUCUCAUCCGUACGCCCCUCAAGCAACUUACACCGCAACAGUUCUGUUGUUAACCAUCAAGUAACAGAAAAGAAUUGUUGGACGGAUUUCUUUUCUAUAUAUUUUUUAUAUUUCAUGUAAUUCCACCACCUCGACAAGAACGCAAACCUUGUUCCCACCUCGUAAUUAAGUUGUAACCCUGCUUUUUUCUCCUGCUCCGUCUCCUCCAUUACAUAUUCCGAGAAUGCACAUUACAAACAUUUUCUCCCUCUCGAGUUACUUACAAACGUAAUAACGGGACGUGAUAAGCUGUCAUUUUUGUAACCUCAUAAUUUUAACAGCAAUUUUCAUAAAUAAAAUUGUGUAAAAACGAAAUAAAAAUUUAUAAAUUUUCUUUAAUUCAUAAUCCAUAAUUUUAAACACUGUUCUAAGCACAUAAGCUUGGUUAAAAUACUUAAAGACAAUGCGUUUAUAAUAAAUAUUAAUAUUACAACUCGUAAAACUACGAAAAUUUCAGAAAUAUACUAAGAUUAUCAGAACCACUGAAUUUAUUCGUAAUC